rnacentral:rRNA from 1 species
UACGGAGGGUGCGAGCGUUGUCCGGAAUCACUGGGCGUAAAGGGCGCGUAGGCGGCCUGAUAAGUAGGGGGUGAAAUCCUGCGGCUUAACCGCAGGGCUGCCUUCUAAACUGUCAGGCUAGAGCACAGUAGAGGCAGGUGGAAUUCCCGGUGUAGCGGUGAAAUGCGCAGAUAUCAGGAAGAACACCCGUGGCUAAGGCGGCUCUCUAGUACGGUACUGACGCUGAGACGCGAAAGCGUGGGGAGCGAACAGG